CCUACGGGUGGCAGCAGUGAGGAAUAUUGGUCAAUGGCCGUAAGGCUGAACCAGCCAAGUAGCGUGCAGGAUGACUGCCCUACGGGUUGUAAACUGCUUUUAUACGGGAAUAACGGUGCUUACGUGUAGGGCUUUGCAGGUACCGUAUGAAUAAGGACCGGCUAAUUCCGUGCCAGCAGCCGCGGUAAUACGGAAGGUCCGGGCGUUAUCCGGAUUUAUUGGGUUUAAAGGGAGCGUAGGCCGGAUGUCAAGCGUGCUGUGAAAUGUCCGGGCUCAACCCGGGCCUUGCAGCGCGAACUGGAGUGCUUGAGUGCGCGGAAGGCAGGCGGAAUUCGUGGUGUAGCGGUGAAAUGCUUAGAUAUGACGAAGAACCCCGAUUGCGAAGGCAGCUUGCUGCAGCGUAACUGACGCUGAUGCUCGAAAGCGCGGGUAUCGAACAGGAUUAGAUACCCUUGUAGUC
rnacentral:rRNA from 1 species